rnacentral:tRNA from 1 species
GGGGUUGUGGCUCAGUGAUAGAGCACUCGCCUAGCAUGUGUGAGGCCCUGGGUUCAAUCCUCAGCACCACUU